rnacentral:ncRNA from 1 species
GCAGAGUAGAACGUUGUGCGUUAAGUGCUGAUCAGACGGGGAGUUGCUGGUCAGACGAAAAGUAAUCCGCUUGCGGUACAACAUUCGCAUCCCGCUGC